GAGCCAUUAGCUCAGUUGGUAGAGAGCAUCUGACUUUGUCAGAGGGUCAGAGGUUCGAGGCUCCUCUAUGGCUCA
rnacentral:tRNA from 1 species